rnacentral:rRNA from 1 species
AUUGAACGCUGGCGGCAUGCUUUACACAUGCAAGUCGAACGGCAGCACGGGUGCUUGCACCUGGUGGCGAGUGGAGAACGGGUGAGUAAUGCACCGGAACGUACCCAGUAAUGGGGGAUAACACAUCGAAAGAUGUGCUAAUACCGCAUGCGCCCUGAGGGGGAAAGCGGGGGAUCGUAAGACCUCGCGUUAUUGGAGCGGCCGAUGCCGGAUUAGCUAGUUGGUGAGGUAAAGGCUCACCAAGGCGACGAUCCGUAGCUGGUCUGAGAGGACGACCAGCCACACUGGGACUGAGACACGGCCCAGACUCCUACGGGAGGCAGCAGUGGGGAAUUUUGGACAAUGGGCGCAAGCCUGAUCCAGCCAUGCCGCGUGAGUGAAGAAGGCCUUCGGGUUGUAAAGCUCUUUCGCAAGGAAAGAAAACUUACCUUCUAAUAAAGGGUGAGGUUGACGGUACCUUGAUAAGAAGCACCGGCUAACUACGUGCCAGCAGCCGCAGUAA